rnacentral:rRNA from 1 species
UACGUAGGUGGCAAGCGUUGUCCGGAUUUACUGGGCGUAAAGGAUGCGUAGGCGGACAUUUAAGUCAGAUGUGAAAUACCCGAGCUUAACUUGGGUGCUGCAUUUGAAACUGGGUGUCUAGAGUGCAGGAGAGGUAAGUGGAAUUCCUAGUGUAGCGGUGAAAUGCGUAGAGAUUAGGAAGAACACCAGUGGCGAAGGCGACUUACUGGACUGUAACUGACGCUGAGGCAUGAAGCGU